rnacentral:rRNA from 1 species
UACAGAGGGGGCAAGCGUUGUUCGGAAUUACUGGGCGUAAAGGGCGCGUAGGCGGCCUGUUAAGUCGAACGUGAAAUCCCCCGGGCUCAACCCGGGAACUGCGUCCGAUACUGGCAGGCUUGAAUCCGGGAGAGAGAUGCGGAAUUCCAGGUGUAGCGGUGAAAUGCGUAGAUAUCUGGAGGAACACCGAUGGCGAAGGCAAUCCCCUGGGCCUGCACUGACGCUCAUGCACGAAAGCGUGGGGAGCAAACAGG